CCUGUUUUCAACUGUCUCAACUCUCUUAGGAGAAAGACACGAUGCAACAGGCAGGGGUGGUGUAGUGGGCUUGGGACUAAGAGGUCCCGAGGCCUUGUGAGCUGUCCCAACUCUCUUAGGAGAAAGACACGAUGCAACAGGCUGGGGUGGUGUAGUGGGCUUGGGACUAAGAGGUCCCGAGGCCUUGUGAGCUGUCUCAACUCUCUUAGGAGAAAGACACGAGGCAACAGGAUGGGGUGGUGUCGUGGGCUUGUGAGUAAGAGGUGUCGUGGGCUUGUGAGUAAGAGGUGCUGUGGCCUUGUGGGUAAGAGGCACCAAAGCCUUGUGAUUAAGCGGUGGCAUGGCCUUGGGAGUAAACGGUGUCGUGG
rnacentral:lncRNA from 1 species